CAGAGCAAGUGGAGAUGGCCAGGAGGACCAAGGAGACCCCCAUGGCUCUCCAAGGGGAAAACAAAGCCCCCGAGAUGUACUUCAUCAACCUCGUGCGGCACUUUGAGUCCGAGAUGAUGUACUGCCGCACCAAGAUCGAGGAGGUGUCUGUGUGCAUGCAGGCGGCCAACAACCCCAAUGAAACGCCUGACGACAUAGCGGAGGUGCUUCAGCGUGAGCACGACACGCUAAAGGAGUUGGCCAGCAAAGUGUACUCCAAGCACUCGCACCUUGUCGAGCUGGGUCACCGCCUCAACACCUCCACCAAGCCCAACAACCAGGGCUUCUUCCGACCCCAGUCCAAGGAGGAUGCCAAGCUCCCUGCUUCAGCUGUGGUGCGGCCAGUGCUAGGGGGCAGCAGCGGCCUCCAGGCAUUCCAGGAACAGCAGGAGCGAGCCAAGGCUGUAACGCUAGGUGCUGCCCCCCCUACCAUGCCCCUCGCACAAACCACUACACCUUCUAUGUUUGGGAGCAAUCCCAACGCCUCGAGUAUUUUCCCAACGGGCACUAGCUUCUUUGGGACUGGCAGCUUCAACUUGGGCUCGCAGACGGGCAACACCACCUUUGGGGCUUCGAAGACCUUUGGCGGAAACACCUCCACCUUCGGGGCCUUCGGGAGCAACACCUCUGGGGUCCAGCAGUCGAGCCCCUUUGCCAUCAGCUCCCCCUUCAACACGAAGCCGUUCGGCUCGUGAGAAUGAGGGGCUCGGCUGGGGGUGAGAGAGAGAGAGGCACACCACUGUACACUUUGAGGGGAUGUUCGGAAAGAGACGAUGAUGGCGACAGCAGACGGAAAAGGCGCCUGUGAACACAAGCAACAAAUUUUUGUUAAGAUUGUUCCUUAUUAUAAGAGAUUAAAAAAAAAAAUUGCAAAAAAAUUGGGAGCUUUAUAUUUCUCUCUCUCCAAUGGACAUUCUUUUGUAAAACUGGUGCGAAUGAUUUUAUGGACGUAAUAAAAAAAAAUUGUCAGUGGUAAGUGUAAGCUUGACAGAGACAACUUGUAAGCUGUGAAAUUUUUUAUGUCUAUAUGGUCUUUUUUUUCCCAUUAUUACCAAUUAUAUAAAUAAAGUAUUUAUAAAAAGGAUAAAAGAAAACUAUUCAAUUCACCUUUCCUUUAAUAACUAUAAAAGUAUUUAUAGGGUAUGAAAGUGUCUAAAUCAAUACCGACCAAGAUCUAGUACCAAAUUCCUAAAUAUGCCGCUACCUCGACCCUAUGCUCGCUCGGAUUUAAUUCGCUGAAAUGGCACCUCAGAAUUGCAAAUGACAAA